GUCCACGCCCUAAACGAUGUCAACUAGUUGUUGGGUGACUUGUUCACUUAGUAACGUAGCUAACGCGAGAAGUUGACCGCCUGGGGAGUACGGUCGCAAGAUUAAAACUCAAAGGAAUUGACGGGGGCCCGCACAAGCGGUGGAUUAUGUGGAUUAAUUCGAUGCAACGCGAAAAACCUUACCUACCCUUGACAUGCCAGGAAGCUGACAGAGAUGUCGGCGUGCCCGAAAGGGAAUCUGGACACAGGUGCUGCAUGGCUGUCGU
rnacentral:rRNA from 1 species